rnacentral:lncRNA from 1 species
UAUGGACUGAGUGUCUGUUGGACCUAAGUCUAUUUGAAAAAGGAGCUAUAGGAUUGGUGGUUGAUGUCUCAACUUGCUUGAACCUAGUGAUGAGUUAUGUAAUUGGUUUGGAUGGCUCAUCAAUCUCUGUUGAUUCAGGCUCAUCAGACUUGGUCUGAUCAGUCUGUGGUUCAGUUGGUUGGUCUUCUUGGUUCUCAGUUAUACCUACCUGAUUGUCUACUUAUCUCCCAGAUCUUAAGG